rnacentral:rRNA from 1 species
AACGAACGCUGGCGGCAUGCCUAAUACAUGCAAGUCGAACGAGACCUUCGGGUCUAGUGGCGCACGGGUGCGUAACGCGUGGGAAUCUGCCCUUGGGUUCGGAAUAACGUCGGGAAACUGACGCUAAUACCGGAUGAUGACGAAAGUCCAAAGAUUUAUCGCCCAGGGAUGAGCCCGCGUAGGAUUAGCUAGUUGGUGAGGUAAAGGCUCACCAAGGCUACGAUCCUUAGCUGGUCUGAGAGGAUGAUCAGCCACACUGGGACUGAGACACGGCCCAGACUCCUACGGGAGGCAGCAGUAGGGAAUAUUGGACAAUGGGGGCAACCCUGAUCCAGCAAUGCCGCGUGAGUGAUGAAGGCCUUAGGGUUGUAAAGCUCUUUUACCCGAGAUGAUAAUGACAGUAUCGGGAGAAUAAGCUCCGGCUAACUCCGUGCCAGCAGCCGCGGUAAUACGGAGGGAGCUAGCGUUGUUCGGAAUUACUGGGCGUAAAGCGCACGUAGGCGGCGAUUUAAGUCAGAGGUGAAAGCCCGGGGCUCAACCCCGGAACUGCCUUUGAGACUGGAUUGCUUGAAUCCUGGAGAGGUGAGUGGAAUUCCGAGUGUAGAGGUGAAAUUCGUAGAUAUUCGGAAGAACACCAGUGGCGAAGGCGGCUCACUGGACAGGUAUUGACGCUGAGGUGCGAAAGCGUGGGGAGCAAACAGG